UUCAUUCAAUUCAAAUUCAGCAUUUUAUUCAUUCACAGGUUCAAGUUUACAAUACUUUUCGAAUGCAAAUAUCAUUUCACCAUCAAUUACGAAUACUCAUUUGUCAAAGUUCAGGCCCAAAAUCCAUUCAAGGUCCUUACAAAAGUUCAUCCAAGAGAAAAUUAUAAAGAGAUACAUGCACAAAGUCAUUACAAUUACAAAAAAAUCUCCACUACUAUAUCAUGUUACAUUGCCAUACAUUGGAUACAUUCUUUAAAACAUAUUAUUCCCACCAUGACUUCAUCAAUAUUUCUCCACUUAUGCCUUCAUAUUAUUAAUGACUUCAAUCCUUGCUUCAGUCACACAAAACCAAAAGCUUUCCAUUGCAUUUUCUUCAAACGACUUGUUGUCUAA